AUGGCUCAGGAUGAACGCUAGCUACAGGCUUAACACAUGCAAGUCGAGGGAAACGAUAUUGGAAGCUUGCUUCCGAUAGGCGUCGACCGGCGCACGGGUGAGUAACGCGUAUCCAACCUGCCCAUCACUUGGGGAUAACCUUGCGAAAGUAAGACUAAUACCCAAUGAUAUCUCUAGAAGACAUCUGAAAGAGAUUAAAGAUUUAUCGGUGAUGGAUGGGGAUGCGUCUGAUUAGCUUGUUGGCGGGUAACGGCCCACCAAGGCGACGAUCAGUAGGGUUCUGAGAGGAAGGUCCCCCACAUUGGAACUGAGACACGGUCCAAACUCCUACGGGAGGCAGCAGUGAGGAAUAUUGGUCAAUGGGCGAGAGCCUGAACCAGCCAAGUAGCGUGCAGGAUGACGGCCUAUGGGUUGUAAACUGCUUUAUAAGGGAAUAAAGUGAGUCUCGUGAGACUUUUGCAUGUACCUUAUGAAUAAGGACCGGCUAAUUCCGUG
rnacentral:rRNA from 1 species